UAGAGUUUGAUCCUGGCUCAGGAUGAACGCUGGCGGCGUGCCUAAUACAUGCAAGUCGAACGGGAGGCAACACUUCGGUGUUGCCGAGAGUGGCGGACGGGUGAGGAACACGUAGCUGACCUGCCGUUGGUUGGGGGAUAACACCGGGAAACCGGUGCUAAAACCGCGUACGCUCGUGAGGGUUAGAGGCCUCGUGAGGAAAACGAUGAGUGACCAACGAGGGGGCUGCGGGCCAUCAGGUAGUUGGUGAGGUAAUGGCUCACCAAGCCAGCGACGGCUAGGGGACCUGAGAGGGUGACCCCCCACACUGGAACUGAGACACGGUCCAGACUCCUACGGGAGGCAGCAGUAAGGGAUAUUGCACAAUGGGCGCAAGCCUGAUGCAGCAACGCCGCGUGCAGGAAGAAGGGCUUCGGCUCGUAAACUGCUUUUCUGCGGGACGAUAAUGACGGUACCGCAGGAAGAAGUCUCGGCUAACUACGUGCCAGCAGCCGCGGUAAAACGUAGGAGGCAAGCGUUAUCCGGAUUUACUGGGCGUAAAGGGCGUGCAGGUGGCUUGCUAAGUGGUGCGUGAAAGCGCCCGGCUCAACCGGGCGAGGCCGUGCCAAACUGGCAGACUAAAACAGGCAGAGGAAAGUGGAAUUCGGGGUGUAGUGGUGAAAUGCGUAGAGAUCCCGAGGAAACUCCUUGUGGCGAAGGCGACUUUCUGGGCCUUGCUUUGACACUCAGACGCGAAAAGCAUGGGGAAGCGANCGGGAUUANAAAACCCCGGUUNUUCCAUUGCCCGUAAACCAUUGUUCCACUUGGGGCCUUUGCACCGCAAGGUGUUGAGUGCCGCAGCUUAACGCGCUAAGUGACCGCCUGGGGAGUACGACCGCAAGGUUAAAACUCAAAGGAAUUGACGGGGGCCCGCACAAGCAGCGGAGCGUGUGGUUUAAUUUGAGGCUACACGAAGAACCUUACCCAGGUUUGACAUAGGCGUGGUAGGGAACCGAAAGGGGACCGACCUUCGGGAGCGCCUACAGGUGCUGCAUGGCUGUCGUCAGCUCGUGUCGUGAGAUGUUCGGUUAAGUCCGGUAACGAGCGCAACCCUCGCCGUCAGUUACAUGUGUCUGGCGGGACUGCCCGGAGGAACUGGGAGGAAGGUGGGGAUGACGUCAAGUCAGCAUGGCCUUUAUAUCUGGGGCGACACACACGCUACAAUGGUCGGUACAAUGGGCAGCCAAGUCGCGAGACGGAGCCAAUCCAAUCAAAACCGGCCUCAGUUCGGAUUGCAGGCUGCAACUCGCCUGCAUGAAGUCGGAGUUGCUAGUAAACGCGCAUCAGCCAUGGCGCGUUGAAUACGUUCCCGGGCCUUGUACACACCGCCCGUCACGUCAUGGGAGCUGGUCACGCCUGAAGCCGGUGGGCAAACCUUACGGAUGCAGCCGUCAAAGGCAGGGCUGGUGACUGGGACGAAGUCGUACAAGGUAGCUGUAGCGGAAGCUGCGGCUGGAUCACCUCCUUA
rnacentral:rRNA from 1 species